rnacentral:rRNA from 1 species
UACGUAGGCAGCGAGCGUUGUUCGGAGUUACUGGGCGUAAAGGGUGUGUAGGCGGUUGUUUAAGUUUGGUGUGAAAUCUCCCGGCUCAACUGGGAGGGUGCGCCGAAUACUGAAUGACUUCGAGUGCGGGAGAGGAAAGUGGAAUUCCUGGUGUAGCGGUGAAAUGCGUAGAUAUCAGGAGGAACACCAGCGGCGAAGGCGGCGCUCUGGGCUGGAACUGACGCUGAGGAGCGAAAGCGUGGGGAGCGAACAGG